ensembl:lncRNA
CUCAGAUUGGGAAUGUUUUUUUUUACUCCGCCCGGGCCUGGCGUAUUUUUCUUUUUAAUAACGCAGGUUAGAAUACGGGACAUUUACGAGAAAAUACUAAUACGGGAGGACGGCGGGAAAGAAGGGUAAAAUACGGGUCUUUCCCGGCCAAAACGGGAUACUUGACAGGUAUGAGACUGAGGCAAACGCAGAGUAAAAUUGGUGUCUUUAAUGACAACAAAAGGAAAACAAAAACCGAGUGCCGUGCACUACAAAAUAUAACAAGGCGAUACAGAACAUGAAAUAAACACUGGAACAUGACAUACAACACAAUGAGUGACCAGGACAGAGAGAAAAUGGGACCGUUACAAAGUUCCUCUUCAAUGAAAGGUGAGUGUAUGCAGAUUUACAGUGUGCCAACUUACAACGGAUUCUCUCCAAAACCGAAUAAAGACGCUCUGAGGAUCCUAUCUUCAGAAGGAAAAUGCAUGCAGGCUAUUGCACAACGCAAGCUGCUUGAAGAGGUUGGGCAGUUUUGGCUUCCCAUUUUGAGCAGGCCAAGACCGGACACGCUCCACUGAUAUGCCAAAUAACUGUGUUCAUUUCAGAAUCUCUCAAAAGCUUGACAAAUUCAGAAUUUCGAUUCUUGCAUAUUUAGCAAUUGCCAAAUACGAUCAGUGAUUUUUUUUUUAAUGGUUACAUUGAGCUAUUUUAGCUAAUUCUUUUCUUAAUGCUCAGCCAUGUUUAUUUACAUUGCCCUGGAUUCUGGGAUUGGUAGACAUCUGACUAAAGAUUCGCAAAUCUGUACAGAAGACAAGCAAAUGUAAAUUACCAUCUGAUCUCAGAGACUCAUAACCUUUAUCUUUGGUUGAUUCGGAUAAACAAACAUGGCAGCACCCCCAAACAUACAUCUACUGUACCUUUGGGUUACUUAACUUCUAGAAAGUUUUUACACCAUGAUUUUGAUCAGUAGUCCGCUCUCCUGGGAUAUGGUGAUUUGUUCUAGUCACUAAUAUCAUUAAUUUUUGUGUCAGAGAUAUGACUGCUUGUGUAGGUACAUAAGUGACCUUUCAUGUCCUGAUUUGAACAAUUGCUUUCUCUGUUAUUGUUUGAAAAUCUACACCAUAAAAUGUAUGACAUUGAGGAAAAAGGUUAUAAACACUGUUUGAGAUAAAGUGUUUGUAAGUAAAUAAAAGUGUAGUCUGACCAGUGAUUGUUGCGUCACUUAUACUUCGACG